AUCAUCUGGUAUCAAAGCUCAAGUUUCCACGGUAGGAUUUUUACCCUUAGCUACAUAUAUAUAUCUUGUUCGUCCUAUCCACCAAAAAGCCAAAAAAAAUUGCAUUAGCCCUUUGUUUCAAUCUGUUUUUCUUGUGAGUUUGGUUAAGUUUCAGUCCAUUAGAGUUUUGUUUAGUUGCUGAUCAUCAUAUCCUUUGUUUGUCCUUUGUGCCUCAUUUAUAUCUAUGAAUCCCUAAAGAAAAUCUGAAACCGGUAUCAUCCUUCGCGUAAACUUUGAGCCUAUCAAGUUAGAACGCUGACAGUUGUGUCUUGUUUCAAAAAAAAAGUAUCAAAAAAAGGAAAGUGAAAAAAAGAGGAAAGUUGAGGAAGAAAAGUUGUGAAGAAAGAGUAGAAAGUUCACUCUGUUUAUGUGCUCAAGUUCUGAAUUUUAUAUCAAGUCACACAAUCAGUCAUUAUCCAUCUUUGGUGCAAAAUUUUGCUUGGGUUUGAUUGCAACACUUGCAUCCUAGGCAUACUCCUUGUUUGCAUCAAAUCUGAAUUAUCUUUGCGCGUGUGUUUGAUCUAUUUACAUCACUCAUAUCUUGUGGUCAGCACUAGGCAUUGAACUUCUAGUUUGGAUUGUGGUUUAACUUUACAAUAUCAAGAAUUCAGAUUGCAUUCCUUGUGAAAUAUAUCCCCACCAAGCUCCACAAAUAACCCACCGUCAUAGGAAAAUACUGAUCUUGGAUUCUCCCAACCAUCAUUCUCGGUUACCACCUCGCAUUGGCCGUUGUAAUCUGCGGGG
rnacentral:lncRNA from 1 species